AUUGAACGCUGGCGGCAGGCUUAACACAUGCAAGUCGAGCGGGGGAAGGUAGCUUGCUACCGGACCUAGCGGCGGACGGGUGAGUAAUGCUUAGGAAUCUGCCUAUUAGUGGGGGACAACAUCUCGAAAGGGAUGCUAAUACCGCAUACGUCCUACGGGAGAAAGCAGGGGAUCUUCGGACCUUGCGCUAAUAGAUGAGCCUAAGUCAGAUUAGCUAGUUGGUGGGGUAAAGGCCUACCAAGGCGACGAUCUGUAGCGGGUCUGAGAGGAUGAUCCGCCACACUGGGACUGAGACACGGCCCAGACUCCUACGGGAGGCAGCAGUGGGGAAUAUUGGACAACGGGGGGAACCCUGAUCCAGCCAUGCCGCGUGUGUGAAGAAGGCCUUAUGGUUGUAAAGCACUUUAAGCGAGGAGGAGGCUACUUUAGUUAAUACCUAGAGAUAGUGGACGUUACUCGCAGAAUAAGCACCGGCUAACUCUGUGCCAGCAGCCGCCGCCG
rnacentral:rRNA from 1 species